GACGAACGCUGGCGGCGUGCCUAAUACAUGCAAGUAGAACGCAGUUGCGAACGGGUGAGUAACGCGUAGGUAACUGCCUCAUAGCGGGGGAUAACUAUUGGAAACGAUAGCUAAUACCGCAUACUUUGAGAUGGACCUGCGUUGUAUUAGGUAGUUGGUGAGGUAAAGGCUCACCAAGGGGACGAGACAUAGCCGACCUGAGAGGGUGGUCGGCCAAACUGGGACUGGGGCACGGCCCAGACUCCUACGGGAGGGAACAGGUGGGAAUCUUCGGAAAUGGACGGAAGUCUGACCGAGCAAAGCCGCGGGAGUGAAGAAGGUUUUCGGAUCGUAAAGCUCUGUUGUUAGAGAAGCGGUACCUAACCAGAAAGGGACGGCUAACUACGUGCCAGCAGCCGCGGUAAUAC
rnacentral:rRNA from 1 species